CCUGAUGUGGCCCAGCGGUAGGGCGUCCGGCUAUGGACCGGAAGGGCGCGGGUUCAAAUCCCGCCAUCAGGC
rnacentral:tRNA from 1 species